AUCCAUCUGUUGAGUCUUAAAUAACACGAAACGCGCUUCAUGGAU
rnacentral:hammerhead_ribozyme from 1 species